rnacentral:rRNA from 1 species
GGGUUGUGAGGUUAAGCGACUAAGCGUACACGGUGGAUGCCCUGGCAGUCAGAGGCGAUGAAGGACGUGCUAAUCUGCGAUAAGCGUCGGUAAGGUGAUAUGAACCGUUAUAACCGGCGAUUUCCGAAUGGGGAAACCCAGUGUGAUUCGUCACACUAUCAUUAACUGAAUCCAUAGGUUAAUGAGGCGAACCGGGGGAACUGAAACAUCUAAGUACCCCGAGGAAAAGAAAUCAACCGAGAUUCCCCCAGUAGCGGCGAGCGAACGGGGAGCAGCCCAGAGCCUGAAUCAGUGUGUGUGUUAGUGGAAGCGUCUGGAAAGGCGCGCGAUACAGGGUGACAGCCCCGUACACAAAAAUGCACAUACUGUGAGCUCGAUGAGUAGGGCGGGACACGUGGUAUCCUGUCUGAAUAUGGGGGGACCAUCCUCCAAGGCUAAAUACUCCUGACUGACCGAUAGUGAACCAGUACCGUGAGGGAAAGGCGAAAAGAACCCCGGCGAGGGGAGUGAAAAAGAACCUGAAACCGUGUACGUACAAGCAGUGGGAGCACGCUUAGGCGUGUGACUGCGUACCUUUUGUAUAAUGGGUCAGCGACUUAUAUUCUGUAGCAAGGUUAACCGAAUAGGGGAGCCGAAGGGAAACCGAGUCUUAACUGGGCGUUAAGUUGCAGGGUAUAGACCCGAAACCCGGUGAUCUAGCCAUGGGCAGGUUGAAGGUUGGGUAACACUAACUGGAGGACCGAACCGACUAAUGUUGAAAAAUUAGCGGAUGACUUGUGGCUGGGGGUGAAAGGCCAAUCAAACCGGGAGAUAGCUGGUUCUCCCCGAAAGCUAUUUAGGUAGCGCCUCGUGAAUUCAUCUCCGGGGGUAGAGCACUGUUUCGGCAAGGGGGUCAUCCCGACUUACCAACCCGAUGCAAACUGCGAAUACCGGAGAAUGUUAUCACGGGAGACACACGGCGGGUGCUAACGUCCGUCGUGAAGAGGGAAACAACCCAGACCGCCAGCUAAGGUCCCAAAGUCAUGGUUAAGUGGGAAACGAUGUGGGAAGGCCCAGACAGCCAGGAUGUUGGCUUAGAAGCAGCCAUCAUUUAAAGAAAGCGUAAUAGCUCACUGGUCGAGUCGGCCUGCGCGGAAGAUGUAACGGGGCUAAACCAUGCACCGAAGCUGCGGCAGCGACGCUUAUGCGUUGUUGGGUAGGGGAGCGUUCUGUAAGCCUGUGAAGGUGUGCUGUGAGGCAUGCUGGAGGUAUCAGAAGUGCGAAUGCUGACAUAAGUAACGAUAAAGCGGGUGAAAAGCCCGCUCGCCGGAAGACCAAGGGUUCCUGUCCAACGUUAAUCGGGGCAGGGUGAGUCGACCCCUAAGGCGAGGCCGAAAGGCGUAGUCGAUGGGAAACAGGUUAAUAUUCCUGUACUUGGUGUUACUGCGAAGGGGGACGGAGAAGGCUAUGUUGGCCGGGCGACGGUUGUCCCGGUUUAAGCGUGUAGGCUGGUUUUCCAGGCAAAUCCGGAAAAUCAAGGCUGAGGCGUGAUGACGAGGCACUACGGUGCUGAAGCAACAAAUGCCCUGCUUCCAGGAAAAGCCUCUAAGCAUCAGGUAACAUCAAAUCGUACCCCAAACCGACACAGGUGGUCAGGUAGAGAAUACCAAGGCGCUUGAGAGAACUCGGGUGAAGGAACUAGGCAAAAUGGUGCCGUAACUUCGGGAGAAGGCACGCUGAUAUGUAGGUGAAGUCCCUCGCGGAUGGAGCUGAAAUCAGUCGAAGAUACCAGCUGGCUGCAACUGUUUAUUAAAAACACAGCACUGUGCAAACACGAAAGUGGACGUAUACGGUGUGACGCCUGCCCGGUGCCGGAAGGUUAAUUGAUGGGGUCAGCGCAAGCGAAGCUCUUGAUCGAAGCCCCGGUAAACGGCGGCCGUAACUAUAACGGUCCUAAGGUAGCGAAAUUCCUUGUCGGGUAAGUUCCGACCUGCACGAAUGGCGUAAUGAUGGCCAGGCUGUCUCCACCCGAGACUCAGUGAAAUUGAACUCGCUGUGAAGAUGCAGUGUACCCGCGGCAAGACGGAAAGACCCCGUGAACCUUUACUAUAGCUUGACACUGAACAUUGAGCCUUGAUGUGUAGGAUAGGUGGGAGGCUUAGAAGUGUGGACGCCAGUCUGCAUGGAGCCGACCUUGAAAUACCACCCUUUAAUGUUUGAUGUUCUAACGUUGACCCGUAAUCCGGGUUGCGGACAGUGUCUGGUGGGUAGUUUGACUGGGGCGGUCUCCUCCUAAAGAGUAACGGAGGAGCACGAAGGUUGGCUAAUCCUGGUCGGACAUCAGGAGGUUAGUGCAAUGGCAUAAGCCAGCUUGACUGCGAGCGUGACGGCGCGAGCAGGUGCGAAAGCAGGUCAUAGUGAUCCGGUGGUUCUGAAUGGAAGGGCCAUCGCUCAACGGAUAAAAGGUACUCCGGGGAUAACAGGCUGAUACCGCCCAAGAGUUCAUAUCGACGGCGGUGUUUGGCACCUCGAUGUCGGCUCAUCACAUCCUGGGGCUGAAGUAGGUCCCAAGGGUAUGGCUGUUCGCCAUUUAAAGUGGUACGCGAGCUGGGUUUAGAACGUCGUGAGACAGUUCGGUCCCUAUCUGCCGUGGGCGCUGGAGAACUGAGGGGGCUGCUCCUAGUACGAGAGGACCGGAGUGGACGCAUCACUGGUGUUCGGGUUGUCAUGCCAAUGGCACUGCCCGGUAGCUAAAUGCGGAAGAGAUAAGUGCUGAAAGCAUCUAAGCACGAAACUUGCCCCGAGAUGAGUUCUCCCUGACCCUUUAAGGGUCCUGAAGGAACGUUGAAGACGACGACGUUGAUAGGCCGGGUGUGUAAGCGCAGCGAUGCGUUGAGCUAACCGGUACUAAUGAACCGUGAGGCUUAACCUUACAACGCCGAAGGUGUUU